AGAGUUUGAUCCUGGCUCAGAUUGAACGCUAGCGGGAUGCCUUACACAUGCAAGUCGAACGGCAGCACGGACUUCGGUCUGGUGGCGAGUGGCGAACGGGUGAGUAAUGUAUCGGAACGUGCCCAGUAGCGGGGGAUAACUACGCGAAAGCGUAGCUAAUACCGCAUACGCCCUACGGGGGAAAGCAGGGGAUCUUCGGACCUUGCACUAUUGGAGCGGCCGAUAUCGGAUUAGCUAGUUGGUGGGGUAACGGCCUACCAAGGCGACGAUCCGUAGCUGGUUUGAGAGGACGACCAGCCACACUGGGACUGAGACACGGCCCAGACUCCUACGGGAGGCAGCAGUGGGGAAUUUUGGACAAUGGGGGAAACCCUGAUCCAGCCAUCCCGCGUGUGCGAUGAAGGCCUUCGGGUUGUAAAGCACUUUUGGCAGGAAAGAAACGUCGCGGGCUAAUACCCCGCGGAACUGACGGUACCUGCAGAAUAAGCACCGGCUAACUUCGUGCCAGCAGCCGCGGUAAUACGAAGGGUGCAAGCGUUACUCGGAAUUACUGGGCGUAAAGCGUGCGUAGGUGGUCGUUUAAGUCCGUUGUUGAAGCCCUGGGCUCAACCUGGGAACUGCAGUGGAUACUGGGCGACUAGAGUGUGGUAGAGGGUAGCGGAAUUUCCUGGUGUAGCAUUGAAAUGCCUAAAUAUGCGGAAGGACCCCGGAUGGCGAAGGCCAGCCUCCUGGGGAUAACACUGACGUUCAUGCAGGAAAGCGUGGGGAGCAACA
rnacentral:rRNA from 1 species